rnacentral:rRNA from 1 species
AUGUGUGAUGUUAUUUUUAGGAGGCUUUCACAGCUAGACAAGACCUAUUCGAAGGACACUUUGACUAUGUUUUGGAGGAAGUUUUUCGAGCCUGAUUUUGCCACCGCAGUUUUAUCCAAUGCCGAUCCAUUGACCAUCCAGUCGAUCCGUGCAACAUUUACAGAAGAAAACGAGAUUUUCAGCCCAGCCUCUAGUCGGAUGUGGCAUAUACCUGCACUCCUACCGGACGGAUGGGCCGUCUACGCAUUCGACAUGGCCAGGCGAAGGAUUUUAGUGCUAGACCCGGCUGUCGGCCCAUUUGGGUUUAGCAAUCGAAGGAUCAACAUGCACACAUAUGUGUCCGACCUGCUUCACACUGCACUCUUCAGAUGCAUCCAAUCCUUAUAUGAUUCUUGGCACUGCAGUUCCGGAGAAUGGACCCGUGCAUUUCCUAUGAUCAUGUUACAGAACAUUGAAACGGAAGACUAUGGCGUGUGUGCUUCGUUCUUCGCCAGGAAUUAUGAUGGUGACAAACUCCAGAUCCCACUAACUAAAGCGAACCUGGAGAUUCACAUGAACCUGAUGCUCUAUGAGGUUAUGCGCUUGCAAGGCAAUGAAUCUCCAGUACCUUCCGAUGCACUUGAAGCUAUUAAGGGGUCAUUCGUAGCGCUGUAG